UUAUGCUAAUUCGUUUGAGGCUACGCUCCCGGAUUACGCUCCCGGAUUACGCUCCCGGAUCCGGGAUUGCUCGUCGCAAGAGGUUUUAAGGGUUUGUACCUUGUAUUGUAUGUGUACUUAGAAUAUUGUUUAAAAAAAUAGCUGGAGUGGGUCAUUAAUGUUCUAACCACAACAUGAUUGUGCGUGUGUGUGUGUGUGUGNNNNNNNNNNNNNNNNNNNNNNNNNUGUGUGUGUGUGGUGUGUGUGUGUGUGUGUGUGUGUGGGGGGACUUGAUUGACAACAGGGGAUUUUGCGCAGCAUGGGCGUCGCUACACCGCCGUAAUCCCGACUAACGUGUAUGGUCCCAUGACAACUUCAACUUUGAAAUGGUCACGUGCUCUCAGCGCUCAUGCAUAAGACAUAUGCUGCUAAAAAGGAGGGAACCCCACUACAGGUGUGGGGCUCCGGAACACCCAGGAGACAAUUCACUACUCUCUGGUAGUUUAGUGAAUUACUCUGUGUGUGUGUGUGUGUGUGUGUGUGUGUGUGUGUGUGUGUCAGAUAUGUGCGUGUGUACAUUAAUAUGUGUGUGUGUUUUCUCAGGAGUUUGCACGUCUGUUCCUCUGGGUGCUGCGGGAGAUGAUGAGAUUGACCCCAUCAUUCUCUCUGGUGAGUCCAACAUGGGUGUGUGUGUGUGUGUGAUCAGUCAAUGUGUGUGUGUGUUGUGUGUGUGUGUGAUCAGUCAAUGUGUGUACCAUAUGUAACUGGACCAAGCCUCUUUGUCACUUGUUUCUCACAGUGGGGAGGAGGAGGAGCUCCCCAUCAAGGACGCCAUAGAGAUGAUUGCAGAUGCCCUGGACUUCAAAGGUCAAAUAGUUUUAUCCUUCCACAGGCUGUGUACGCCUGAUGGAGUUGCUCCUCGGCACAGAUCUAGGAUCAGCGUAUCUUCCCAAUUCCUUACCUUAACAUCAUUCAAAUUUGACCUAGAUCAGUGUCUAGAACCAAUCUAGUAGAAUCCUUAGUACAACACCAGCAACCAUAUCUAAAGGUUCAUACACCUGUUGGACUGAAAGACGUACAGAUGUAGUACAUUAUGCCCACUCGGACUGGCUGUCCCCCAUAUCGUUGCACUGUAACUAUGUCAUCUCCCUGUGCUUUUGCCUUCUGUGGCCCUUGACCUAUGACAUCAGUUCGACACCAGCAAGUCAGACGGUCAGAUGAAGAAGACGGCCAGCAACGCCAAGCUGCGACGCUACCUCCCUGACUUCACCUUACGCCGCUCUCUGAAGGUCAGAGAUCCAAAUAUUGAGGGUUGUAUUUCCUGUCCAGAAAACAACCAAUAUUGUAGUUGGAAUUAGUUUCUUGUAAAUAACACAGACGCAUUACAGCAUGAUAUUUGAUACCUAUCUGUUAUUGGUCGUUUUAUGAUUAUGAUGAAAGUAACGUUCACAGUGAUUAAACCACUCUCCAAAAUGCACAGUAUCCAUAGAUGACUGACUGUGUCUCUCCUCCCCUACAGGUAUCAAAGAAGACCUGUGAUUGUUCGUGAACAAUUACGACAUAGCCCGAACAUGAAGACCAAUGAAGGUCGAGACAUGAAUUUGUUUAAUGAAAAAGAUCAGGGCUACAUCCCAAUACUACUACUGUGCCUUCCAAGUCUUGUGUCCUUGUCUUCAUGCCAACUGAUUAGUGAAAGUUCUGGAUAGGUUUCACCAUGUGGCCAGUUAAGUUCUGUCGGAUCAGUGGGCAUGAGGUAAAGGCACACAGGACUCACAAUACCCCACCUUGUUUGUUCUCCCCAGAACUGUUGUCUCAUCCUCUUGCCCUUUGUGCUGUUGUCUGUGUGCCAACAAUGUUUGUACCUUGUUUUGUGCUGUUGUCUGUGCCCAACAAUUUUUGUACCUUGUUUGUGGCUGUGUGUGCCCAACAAUGUUUGUACCUUGUUUGUGCUGUUGUCUGUGC
rnacentral:lncRNA from 1 species